GCAAGUCGUGCGAGAAAGUAUCUUCGGAUAUGAUUAGAGCGGCGGACGGGUGAGUAACGCGUAGGAAUCUACCUAGUAGAAGGGGAUAGCCCGAGGAAACUCGGAUUAAUACCGUAUACCUCCUCCGGGAGAAAGAAGGCCUCUCUUUGAAGCUUUCGCUACUAGAUGAGCCUGCGUAAGAUUAGCUUGUUGGUGAGGUAAAGGCUCACCAAGGCUACGAUCUCUAGCUGGUCUGAGAGGAUGAUC
rnacentral:rRNA from 1 species